rnacentral:misc_RNA from 1 species
AAAAUAAAAAUUUAUAUAAUAAUAAAAUGAAAAGGGUCCAAAAUACAAAUCUAUAUAGACGCCACAUAGAACAUUGCUUACAAACACACAAAAUUUUCCAUAAUUGCCAAAAUGGAAUGUUGGCUGGAAAUAGCUAUUAAAAUCCAUAGCCCUUGACUGUGUCAUUUGAUUUCCUGGACAUGCCUUAUGUCAGAGUUUAAAAAAUAAAUAUAUAGAUAAAUUGAAGGAAUCAGCUAUUUCAAUCAUGACAAGAAAUACCUGAUAAUAUACAGUUAUACUAAAGCAGUUAUGAG